ACGAACGUUGGCGGCGUGGAUUAGGCAUGCAAGUCGAACGAAUCCCGGUAGCAAUACCGGGGGAAGUGGCGAAAGGGGCAGUAAGGCGUGGCUAACCUACCCCGGGGACGGGGAUAGCCCUCCUAACGGAGGGGUAAUACCCGGCGAUCUCACGAGGCGGCAUCACCUUGUGAGGAAACGAGUCUCGCCUCGGGAGGGGGUCACGUGCUAUUACCUGGUUGGCGGGGUAACGGCCCACCAAGGGGAAGAUGGCUAGCGGGUGUGAGAGCACGACCCGCGCCACUGGCACUGCGACACUGGCCAGACUCCUACGGGAGGCUGCAGUCGAGGAUCUUCGGCAAUGGGCGCAAGCCUGACCGAGCGACGCCGCGUGCGCGAUGAAGGCCUUCGGGUUGUAAAGCGCUGUCGGGGGGGAGGAAAGCCCGCGAGGGCCUGACCUAUCCCUGGAGGAAGCACGGGCUAAGUUCGUGCCAGCAGCCGCGGUAAGACGAACCGUGCGAACGUUGUUCGGAUUCACUGGGCUUAAAGGGCGCGUAGGCGGCUCGCCAAGUCGGGGGUGAAAUCCUUCGGCUCAACCGGAAAACAGCUUCCGAUACUGGCGGGCUCGAGUGGGGUAGGGGCGACUGGAACUUCCGGUGGAGCGGUGAAAUGCGUAGAUAUCGGAAGGAACGCCGGUGGCGAAAGCGAGUCGCUGGACCCCUCCUGACGCUGAGGCGCGAAAGCCAGGGGAGCGAACGGGAUUAGAUACCCCGGUAGUCCUGGCCCUAAACGAUGGGCACUAGGUAGUGGACUUGACAUGGGUUCACUGCCGAAGCGAAAGUGGUAAGUGCCCCGCCUGGGGAGUAUGGUCGCAAGGCUGAAACUCAAAGGAAUUGACGGGGGCCCGCACAAGCGGUGGAGCAUGGGGUUUAAUUCGUCACUAACCGAAGAACCUUACCCAGGCUUGACAUCUCCCGCAAACCCCGGAAACGGGGCGUUCCCCGCGAGGGGACGGGAAGACAGGUGUUGCAUGGCUGUCGCCAGCUCGUGUCGUGAGAUGUUGGGUUAAGUCCCGCAACGAGCGCAACCCUCACCGUAUGUUGCUAGCGGAAACGCGCACUCAUGCGGAACUGCCGGGGCAACUCGGAGGAAGGCGGGGAUGACGUCAAGUCGGCAUGGCCCUUACGCCUGGGGCUACACCCAUGCUACAAUGGGCCGGACAGAGGGACGCCAAGCCGCAAGGCGGAGCCAAUCCCAAAAACCGGCUCUCAGUUCGGAUUGGGGUCUGCAACUCGACCCCAUGAAGUCGGAAUCGCUAGUAAACGCCGGUCAGCCAAACGGCGUUGAAUCCGUUCCCGGGCCUUGUACACACCGCCCGUCACGUCACCUGAGUCUGCUGCACCCGAAGCUGAGGGCCGAACUCGCAAGAGACGGACUUAGCGAAGGUGUGGCCGGUAAGGGGGACG
rnacentral:rRNA from 1 species